AGCUCCAAUAGCGUAUAUUUAAUUUGUUGUGGUUAAAAAGCUCGUAGUUGGAUUUCGGCGGGUAUUGGUCGGUUUGAAUUGCUUCAAUACUGACUUUUUUACCCGUGUGUUUUGCCAGAAUUUGACGGGUGACCUUAACCGAUUGUCCGUUAGAACUGGCUGGUUUACUUUGAAAAAAUUAGAGUGCUCAAAGCAAGCUUGACUGCUUGAAUAUUCGUGCAUGGAAUAAUAGAAUAGGAAGUUGUUUCUAUUUUGUUGGUUCUCGGAAAUCGACUUAAUGAUUAAUAGGGAUAGUCGGGGGCAUUUGUAUUCAAACGACAGAGGUGAAAUUCUUGGACCGUUUGAAGACAAACUACUGCGAAAGCAUUUGCCAAGAAUGUUUUCA
rnacentral:rRNA from 1 species